CCUACGGGAGGCUGCAGUGGGGAAUAUUGCACAAUGGGCGAAAGCCUGAUGCAGCAACGCCGCGUGAGUGAUGAAGUCUUUCGGGUCGUAAAGCUCUAUCCGCAAGGAAGAUGAUGACGGUACUUGAUGAAGAAGCCCCGGCUAACUACGUGCCAGCAGCCGCGGUAAUACGUAGGGGGCUAGCGUUAUCCGGAUUUACUGGGGGUAAAGGGUGCGCAGGGGGUGUUUUAAGUCAGAGGUGAAAGGCUAGGGCUCAACCGUAGUCAUGCUUUGAAACUGGGACGCUUGAGUGCAGGAGAGGAGGGUGGAAUUCCUAGUGUAGCGGUGAAAUGCGUAGAUAUUAGGAGGAACACCAGUGGCGAAGGCGGCUCUCUGGACUGUAACUGACGCUGAGGCACGAAAGCGUGGGGAGCAAACAGGAUUAGAUACCCGAGUAGUC
rnacentral:rRNA from 1 species